AAAUGAGCGCAAGAUCUGACAAAAAAAAAAGGUUCAUCUUUUAUUCUUCCAAACACUUUCAUUUAAAUCAAGAGGAUGGGAUGUGGUUAUUACUGUGUUUUUAGACAAAAUCAAUGGUUUCUGGCUCUGAGAUGUUGCAUACACCCUCUCAGUCCCUGUAUCCUGAGAUGGAGUCACCUGAGAAUCCACAGCAAGUCCUAACCAGGGAUGGGUCUGGGUGAUUAAGGAAGAUUGGCUUCAGAACUGGGCCAGGGGCACUGCUUUGCUUUUGCUGUUUUGAUCAGCUCUCUGCCUGCAGGAGACGAGGAAAACCAAUGGGAACAGAAACUCCUAGAGGGCAGAGGCAUGCCUGCCAUCUUCAUCAUUGCAUUACCAUCACCCAACACUAUCAGGGGACCUGCCCUGAUAAUCAGUCUACAGUUGUAUCCAGCAGCUCCAGAGAGACAGCGACCAGCAAGAAGGGGCCAUGAUGAUGGUGGUGGUUUUUUCAAAACGAAAAGGGGGAUAUGUAGGGAAAAGAAAGAGAGAUCAGACUCUUACAGACUCUUACUGUGUCUACAUAGAAAGGGAAGACAUAAGAGACUCCAUUUGGAAAAAGACCUGUACUUUAAACAAUUGCUUUGCUGAGAUGUUGUUAAUCUGUAGCUUUGCCCCAGCCACUUUGCCCCAACCACUUUGACCCAGUCUGGAGCUCACAAAAACAUGUGUUGUAUGAAAUCAAGGUUUAAGGCAUGUAGGGCUGUGCAGGAUGUGCCUUGUUAACCAAAUGUUUGCAAGCAGUAUACUUGGUAAAAGUCAUCACCAUUCUCUUGUCUCAAUAAACCAGGGGCACAAUGCACUGUGGAAAGCCGCAGGGACCUCUGCCCUUGAAAGCUGGGUAUUAUUCAAAGUUUCCCCCCAUGUGAUAGUCUGAAAUAUGGCCUCGUGGGAUGAGAAAGGCCUGACGGUCCCCUAGCCCGACACCCAUAAAAGGUCUGUGCUGAGGUGGAUUAGUCAAAGAGGAAAGACUCUUGCAUUUGAGAUAGAGGAAGGCCACUGUCUCCUGCCUGCCCCUGGGAACUGAAUGUCUCGGUAUAAAACACGAUUGUACAUUUGUUCAAUUCUGAGAUGGGAGAAAAACCGCCCUAUGGUGGGAGGUGAGACAUGUUUACAGCAAUACUGCCUUGAUAUUCUUUACUCCACUGAGAUGUUUGGGUGGAGAGAAACAUAAAUCUGGCUUACAUGCACGUUCAGUCAUAGUACCUUCCCUUGAACUUCAUUAUGACAUAGAUUCUAUUGCUCACAUGUUUGUUGCUGACCUUCUUAUUAUCACCCUGCCCUCCUACUACAUUCCUUUUUGCUGAAAUAAUAAAGAUAGUAUUCAAUAAAAACUGAGGGAACUCAGAGACCGGUGCCAGUGCAGGUCCUUGGUAUGCUAAGCGCCGGUACCCUGGGCCCACU
rnacentral:lncRNA from 1 species